UACUGCUUCUACUGCUGAUUGUGACAACUCGAGACGACGAGAUCGAUCCGUGAAGUGAAAAGAAGGAGAAGCAGCAGCAGUAGCAGCACACGCACACACUCACUCACGCAUCUCUGACACACACAUGCACACACAUAGAGGGCUCUCGAAGCCCUCUCGGAGCCACAGAGUAAUUGAGAGAGUGAGAGACGUUAGACUGCUCGAUUAUUGGAAAUCAUUGGGCUGUAGGGGACCCGGCGACUAGGCAGAGAAGGGAAGGCGCCGCUCUCGUCGCCUGCGCUAUUG
ensembl:ncRNA C16C2.8 ncRNA